GAUGGACGCUGGCGGCGUGCUUAACACAUGCAAGUCGAACGGAAAGGCCGAAGCUUGCUUCGGUACUCGAGUGGCGAACGGGUGAGUAACACGUGGGUGAUCUGCCCUGUACUUCGGGAUAAGCUUGGGAAACUGGGUCUAAUACCGGAUAUGACGAUCUCUUGGAUGGGGUUGUGGAAAGCUUUUGCGGUCUGGGAUGAGCUCGCGGCCUAUCAGCUUGUUGGUGGGGUAAUGGCCUACCAAGGCGUCGACGGGUAGCCGGCCUGAGAGGGUGUACGGCCACAUUGGGACUGAGAUACGGGCCAGACUCCGACGGGAGGCAGCAGUGGGGAAUAUUGGACACUGGGAGCAAGCCUGAGGCAGCGACGCCGCGGGAGGGAUGACGGCCUUCGGGUUGUAAACUCCUUUCGCAAUCGACGAAGCCUUUUGGUGACGGUAGGUUGAGAAGAAGCACCGGCUAACUACGUG
rnacentral:rRNA from 1 species